UAUUGAACCUGAUCCUGGUCAUACGAAGCUUCGUCUUUCAAGCGAUGGCUUGGAGGCCAUCAGACGAAUAACGACACCAAUUGCAGCAGUUGCUGUACUGUCUUCACUGCAUUUGGGUAAUCUGUAAUACACACACUUCAUUGCUAAAGAAUUUUGAGUUCAAUUUUCCCUCUUCAGGUUUUGGGGUUGGCCAUAUGCGUGACACAAAGACAAAAGGGAUUUGGGUUUGG
rnacentral:misc_RNA from 1 species